rnacentral:rRNA from 1 species
CUAACAAGGAUUCCCCUAGUAACUGCGAGUGAAGCGGGAAGAGCUCAAAUUUGUAAUCUGGCGGCCUUAGGCCGUCCGAGUUGUAAGCUCGAGAAGCGUCUUCUGUGCCGGACCGUGUACAAGUCCCUUGGAACAGGGCGUCAUAGAGGGUGAGAAUCCCGUCUCUGACACGGACUGCCGGUGCUAUGUGAUGCGCUCUCAAAGAGUCGAGUUGUUUGGGAAUGCAGCUCAAAAUGGGUGGUAAAUUCCAUCUAAAGCUAAAUACAGGCGAAAGACCGAUAGCGAACAAGUACCGUGAGGGAAAGAUGAAAAGCACUUUGGAAAGAGAGUUAAAGAGUACGUGAAAUUGUUGAAAGGGAAACGCUUUCAGUCGCGCGUCUCACGGGAUUCAGCCUUUGCCAUCCCGGCUAGGUGUAUUUCCCGGGCUAGACGGGCCAGCAUGAAUUCAGAUCGCCAGAGAACGGCCUUGGGAAUGUGGCACCUCCGCGGUGUGUUAUAGCCCUUGGGUCAUAUGUGGCGGUCUGGAUUGAGGACUGCAGCACGCCUUUAUUGGCCGGGGUUCGCCCACGUAACGUGCUUAGGAUGCUGGCGUAAUGGCUUCAAACGA